GAUGGACGCUGGCGGCGUGCCUAACACAUGCAAGUCGAGCGAGGGUUUGCUCAGUAUUGAGUAUUCUAAAACUAGAAUGUUCAAUUCUGAGCAAAACCAAGCGGCGGACGGGUGAGUAACGCGUGGGUAACCUGCCCUAUACACAUGGAUAACAUACUGAAAAGUUUACUAAUACAUGAUAAUAUAUAUUUGCGGCAUCGCAGAUAUAUCAAAGUGUUAGCGGUAUAGGAUGGACCCGCGUCUGAUUAGCUAGUUGGUGAGAUAACUGCCCACCAAGGCGACGAUCAGUAGCCGACCUGAGAGGGUGAUCGGCCACAUUGGAACUGAGACACGGUCCAAACUCCUACGGGAGGCAGCAGUGGGGAAUAUUGCACAAUGGGCGAAAGCCUGAUGCAGCAACGCCGCGUGAACGAUGAAGGUCUUCGGAUCGUAAAGUUCUGUUGCAGGGGAAGAUAAUGACGGUACCCUGUGAGGAAGCCCCGGCUAACUACGUGCCAGCAGCCGCGGUAAUACGUAGGGGGCUAGCGUUAUCCGGAUUUACUGGGCGUAAAGGGUGCGUAGGUGGUCCUUCAAGUCGGGUGGUUAAAGGCUACGGCUCAACCGUAGUAAGCCGCCGAAACUGUGAGGACUUGAGUGCAGGAGAGGAAAGUGGAAUUCUCUGUGUAGCGGUGAAAUGCGUUGAUAUUGGGAGGAACACCCUGAUGGAAGGCUGCUGUCUGGGCUGCUCUGAGAUGGAGGCACUAAAGCGUGGUAGCGUAAAGAUUUAUACCCUGUAUGCCAAGGUGGAAUUCACUUUGGAUGCUGUUUUUGCAUACCUUCUCUUGCAUGGGUGGAACAAAAACACGUGUUUUUUUCCCUUUAAUGAGUGUUAUUUGUAUAUUGUUUUUUUUGUCAUGUUGUGAUUCUAUUUUUUUUCUGUUUGAUCUGUCUGCUUGUAUGUUACUUUGUGUGCUAUGUGUUGUCUUAUGUUUUUUUCUUCUUGUCUUGAUGUGAAUUGCUUGUGAACUGACUGAUGACAUUGUCUGUCUCCCUUUCUACUGUGCUAUGUUGUGUAGUGGCUUGUUAUGUGUUGCUGUUGCUGUGUGUGUUCUGUCCCCCAUG
rnacentral:rRNA from 1 species